rnacentral:rRNA from 1 species
AUUGAACGCUGGCGGCAGGCCUAACACAUGCAAGUCGAGCGAGCGGCGGAAGGGUGAGUAAUGUCUGGGAAACUGCCUGAUGGAGGGGGAUAACUACUGGAAACGGUAGCUAAUACCGCAUACAAUCAGAUGUGCCCAGCUGGGAGUAGCGAGGAGGUGGGGUAAAGGCUAACCUAGGCGACGAGCCCUAGAUGGUCUGAGAGGAUGACCAGCCACACUGGAACUUAGACACGGUCCCGACUCCUACGGUAGGCAGCAGUGGGGAAUAUUGCACAAUGGGCGCAAGCCUGAUGCAGCCAUGCCGCGUGUAUGAAGAAGGCCUUCGGGUUGUAAAGUACUUUCAGCGGGGAGGCGUUACCCGCAGAAGAAGCACCGGCUAACUCCGUGCCAGCAGCCGCGGUAAUAC